AAAAAUUACAGUAAUUCAGGCACAAGAUCUUAUAUAAAUAAAAAUAUUUAUACUCAUUUCAUGUGGAAUAUAAAAUUCAACAAAAAUAUUGUUAUAUUUUUUGAAUGCUUUUUUAAUACAACCUUUUAAAAUUAGUGAUACCUUGGAUAUUUGUUUAACUCAUUUUUUGUUUAAGAAAAGAGAGGUGAAAAGAGAAAGAAAAGUAUUCUUAUCUAUAUUAAAUUGUGAAUGUCUGUAUAUGGAAUUAAAAUUUUGUAAAAAUAAUGACUACAUUGUAACAGCUGAGUAAUGGAUUUAAUACGAAAUACAGAAUCAAACUUCAACAUAUAUUUAAUUAAAGAAAUACCCCCAAAAGUUGUGGCAAAGACAAGAGGAAAAGUAUUUUGGGAAUAUAUUGAUAAAAAUAUUCCUUUUAUCUCAAAAAAGCUAGUUGAAUUACGUUUGAAUGUUAUUUUGAGCUCUUGAGUUAGUGAAAACUU